UUGUCGUCAGCUCGUGUCGUGAGAUGUUGGGUUAAGUCCCGCAACGAGCGCAACCCUCGACCUUAGUUGCCAGCAUUCAGUUGGGCACUCUAAGGUGACUGCCGGCUAAAAGUCGGAGGAAGGUGGGGAUGACGUCAAAUCAUCAUGCCCUUAUGACCUGGGCUACACACGUGCUACAAUGGGCGGUACAAAGGGUCGCGAACCCGCGAGGGGGAGCCAAUCCCAAAAAGCCGCUCUCAGUUCGGAUUGCAGGCUGCAACUCGCCUGCAUGAAGCCGGAAUCGCUAGUAAUCGCGGAUCAGCAUGCCGCGGUGAAUACGUUCCCGGGCCUU
rnacentral:rRNA from 1 species